GACGAAGGUGGCGACCGUUGUUCGGAAUCACUGGGCAUAAAGAGCUCGUAGGCGGUGAGAAAAGUAGGGUGUGAAAUCCCUCGGCCCAACCGAGGAACUGCGCUCUAAACUGUCUUGCUUGAGGACCGAAGGGGACCACGGAAUUCCUGGUGGAGCGGUGAAAUGCGUUGAUAUCAGGAGGAACACCGGCGGCGAAGGCGGUGGUCUGGUCGGUUUCUGACGCUGAGGAGCGAAAGCUAGGGGAGCAAACGGG
rnacentral:rRNA from 2 species